rnacentral:rRNA from 1 species
GUGAACGCUGGCGGUAGGCCUAACACAUGCAAGUCGAACGGCAGCACAGAGGAGCUUGCUCCUUGGGUGGCGAGUGGCGGACGGGUGAGGAAUACAUCGGAAUCUACUCUUUCGUGGGGGAUAACGUAGGGAAACUUACGCUAAUACCGCAUACGACCUUCGGGUGAAAGCAGGGGAUCGCAAGACCUUGCGCGAUUGAAUGAGCCGAUGUGGGAUUAGCUAGUUGGCGGGGUAAAGGCCCACCAAGGCGACGAUCCGUAGCUGGUCUGAGAGGAUGAUCAGCCACACUGGAACUGAGACACGGUCCAGACUCCUACGGGAGGCAGCAGUGGGGAAUAUUGGACAAUGGGCGCAAGCCUGAUCCAGACAUACCGCGUGGGUGAAGAAGGCCUUCGGGUUGUAAAGCCCUUUUGUUGGGAAAGAAAAGCACACGGUUAAUACCCGAGUGUUCUGACGGUACCCAAAGAAUAAGCACCGGCUAACUUCGUGCCAGCAGCCGCCGUAA